rnacentral:rRNA from 1 species
GAUGAACGCUGGCGGCGUGCCUAAUACAUGCAAGUCGAGCGAACAGAUAAGGAGCUUGCUCCUUUGAAGUUAGCGGCGGACGGGUGAGUAACACGUGGGUAACCUACCUAUAAGACUGGGAUAACUUCGGGAAACCGGAGCUAAUACCGGAUAACAUUUAGAACCGCAUGGCUCUAAAGUGAAAGAUGGUUUUGCUAUCACUUAUAGAUGGACCCGCGCCGUAUUAGCUAGUUGGUAAGGUAACGGCUUACCAAGGCGACGAUACGUAGCCGACCUGAGAGGGUGAUCGGCCACACUGGAACUGAGACACGGUCCAGACUCCUACGGGAGGCAGCAGUAGGGAAUCUUCCGCAAUGGGCGAAAGCCUGACGGAGCAACGCCGCGUGAGUGAUGAAGGGUUUCGGCUCGUAAAACUCUGUUAUUAGGGAAGAACAAAUGUGUAAGUAACUGUGCACAUCUUGACGGUACCUAAUCAGAAAGCCACGGCUAACUACGUGCCAGCAGCCGCGGUAAUACGUAGGUGGCAAGCGUUAUCCGGAAUUAUUGGGCGUAAAGCGCGCGUAGGCGGUUUCUUAAGUCUGAUGUGAAAGCCCACGGCUCAACCGUGGAGGGUCAUUGGAAACUGGGAAACUUGAGUGCAGAAGAGGAAAGUGGAAUUCCAUGUGUAGCGGUGAAAUGCGCAGAGAUAUGGAGGAACACCAGUGGCGAAGGCGACUUUCUGGUCUGUAACUGACGCUGAUGUGCGAAAGCGUGGGGAUCAAACAGGAUUAGAUACCCUGGUAGUCCACGCCGUAAACGAUGAGUGCUAAGUGUUAGGGGGUUUCCGCCCCUUAGUGCUGCAGCUAACGCAUUAAGCACUCCGCCUGGGGAGUACGACCGCAAGGUUGAAACUCAAAGGAAUUGACGGGGACCCGCACAAGUGGUGGAGCAUGUGGUUUAAUUCGAAGCAACGCGAAGAACCUUACCAAAUCUUGACAUCCUUUGAAAACUCUAAAGAUAGAGCCUUCCCCUUCGGGGGACAAAGUGACAGGUGGUGCAUGGUUGUCGUCAGCUCGUGUCGUGAGAUGUUGGGUUAAGUCCCGCAACGAGCGCAACCCUUAAGCUUAGUUGCCAUCAUUAAGUUGGGCACUCUAGGUUGACUGCCGGUGACAAACCGGAGGAAGGUGGGGAUGACGUCAAAUCAUCAUGCCCCUUAUGAUUUGGGCUACGCACGUGCUACAAUGGACAAUACAAAGGGCAGCUAAACCGCGAGGUCAUGCAAAUCCCAUAAAGUUGUUCUCAGUUCGGAUUGUAGUCUGCAACUCGACUACAUGAAGCUGGAAUCGCUAGUAAUCGUAGAUCAGCAUGCUACGGUGAAUACGUUCCCGGGUCU